rnacentral:rRNA from 1 species
UCGAGGGGCAUCGGGAUGUAGCAAUACAUAGCCGGCGACCGGCGCACGGGUGCGUAACGCGUAUGCAACCUACCAUAUACAGGGGGAUAAUCACUCGAAAGGGUGUCUAAUACCCCAUAGUAUAAUAAAUCUGCAUGGAAUAAUAAUUAAAGAUUUAUUGGUAUAUGAUGGGCAUGCGUGACAUUAGCUAGUUGGAGAGGUAACGGCUCACCAAGGCAACGAUGUCUAGGGGUUCUGAGAGGAAGAUCCCCCACACUGGUACUGAGACACGGACCAGACUCCUACGGGAGGCAGCAGUGAGGAAUAUUGGUCAAUGGGCGAGAGCCUGAACCAGCCAUGCCGCGUGAAGGAAGACGGCCCUACGGGUUGUAAACUUCUUUUAUAUGGGGAUAAACCUACUCUUGCGAGAGUAGCUGAAGGUACCAUAUGAAUACGCAUCGGCUAACCCCGUGCCAGCAGCCGCGGUAAUACGGAGGAUGCGAGCGUCAUCCGGAUUCA